UACGUAGGGGGCAAGCGUUGUCCGGAAUUAUUGGGCGUAAAGAGCGCGUAGGCGGUCCGAUAAGUCGGCUGUGAAAGUCAGGGGCUCAACCCUUGAAAGCCGGCCGAUACUGUCGGACUAGAGUCCGGAAGAGGCAAGUGGAAUUCCCGGUGUAGCGGUGAAAUGCGCAGAUAUCGGGAGGAACACCAAUGGCGAAGGCAGCUUGCUGGGACGGUACUGACGCUGAGGCGCGAAAGCGUGGGGAGCAAACGGG
rnacentral:rRNA from 1 species